rnacentral:tRNA from 1 species
GCCUGGGUGGCUCAGUUGGUUGAGCGGCUGCCUUCAGCUCAGGUUGUGUUUCCAGAGUCUCGGGAUCAAGUCCCGUGUCAGGCU